AGCUUUUUGCAGUGGCAGUAUCAUAACGAGUGAGGUUCAUCCGAGGCACAAUUAUUGCUAAUUGAAAACUUUUCCUAAUACUCGCCAUGAUGACUUGAAAUAUAGUCAGUGUUGGCAAUUUUUGGCAGUUUCUAAGGGGA